CCUACGGGGGGCAGCAGUGGGGAAUAUUGCGCAAUGGGGGCAACCCUGACGCAGCAACGCCGCGUGAUUGAAGAAGGCCUUCGGGUUGUAAAGAUCUUUAAUCGGGGACGCAUUUUGACGGUACCCGAAGAAUAAGCUCCGGCUAACUAAGUGCCAGCAGCCGCGGUAAUACGCAGGGGGCAAGCGUUAUCCGGAUUUACUGGGUGUAAAGGGCGUGUAGGGGGGCAGGCAAGCCAGAAGUGAAAUAUGGGGGCUAAACCCCCAAACUGCUUUUGGAACUGCCUUUGAAACUGGCAAACUGGAGUGUGUGAGAGGAUAGUGGAAUUCCAGGUGUAGGAGUGAAAUCCGUAGAUAUCUGGAGGAACAUCAGUGGCGAAGGCGACUAUCUGGCACAUAACUGACGCUGAGGAGCGAAAGCGUGGGUAGCAAACAGGAUUAGAUACCCCAGUAGUC
rnacentral:rRNA from 1 species